UUGAUCAACUUGGUCAUUAGAGAAGUAAAGUCGUACAAGUUUCCGUAGGUGAACCUGCGGAAGGAUCAUUA
rnacentral:rRNA from 1 species